AAAGUACUCCCUCCGUCCCGAAAUUCUUGUCUUAGAUUUGUCUAGAUACGGAUGUAUCAAGUCACAUUUUAGUAUUAGAUACAUCCGUAUCUAGACAAAUCUAAGACAAGAAUUUUGGGACAGAGGGAGUAGUUG
rnacentral:pre_miRNA from 1 species